AUUUGGCAGCAGGCUGCCACUUAGAAAGCUGCUCCCUACUCCUAAUAAACUGUAACUUCUUGUACACAAGGUUCACUUCAACCCCUGAUGAUCUAUGACCUGCGAUACACUGUCAGAAGAUAUGAAGUCCAAGCCAUACCCUUGAGAAUAUGUAUACAUGGAAAAAGGAAAGCUACACAGAAAGGACCGCACCAUGUCAGGAUGCAGGAGCGAUCUCUUCCCUGCUUGGAGAAAAGGCAUUGAUUUGUUCCUAACACCAGGAGCUGUUCUAAUGAGGAGGUGCUGAUAAGUGAAAUGAAACCACAGAGUGCAAGCACGUGGAGUGCAAACCCGUGAGUCACAUUAAAUACGAACUCAACCUGCACUAAUGUUAAUUGUCAUUCAGUUUAUAUCAACAUGAAGCUUAUUAAACCAUAAAGUGAGGCAUCUAGCACCAAGAGCAGCACUGGAGACAAUUAAGUGUAAUAAGUGUUUUUCUUAAUCCCUCCAAACCCAAGAGAUGCACAAGUUACAGAUGAACAUCCUGUU
rnacentral:lncRNA from 1 species